UCUGCUUUUUGGCUCUCUUCGUAUCUCAAAUUGCUUAUUGGCAUCGGGCGGUUGUUUUCAAGAUCUCUCAAUGCUCCAAGUCUUCCUCUGCGAUGCUCCACACAUUGAUAAUGAGCCGCGCUCGCUAAUCUCCCAUCAGGAUUCAUAAUGUCAUACGAAAAUCCUCGUUGAAAAAAACAUUCAUCGCAGUUUAUUUGCAGUACAGAAGGUCAUUCUGCCUGAAUCAUUUGUCAGAAAAUUUCCAUUGAGUGUGAAGGUUUUCGGUGAAAAUUGUGAGUUUCUCCUUGGCGGCAAUCACAAUGUUUCAUUUCCAAGGGCCACCAAAAGGGGAGGUAUUUCCCAUGGCUGCUGAGAAGGGCAGGUGUGGCAGUGAGGGACAUGGACUGGUGGGCACGGUGGGGAUGGGUUGGGGUUGCACUUGGUGACCUGAGCAGUCCUCUCCUACCUUGAUGAUUCUCUAAUCCAACUGUCCCCUGCGCAGAAGCACAAACCCAAAAGGGGGUUCCUUCCAGAGUCCUGAAGAAAAGUUCUGUGUGUCCCUCCAGAAACCCACCACGCUGUGAAACCCCCAGGUGUGUGCUGAUGUCUGCAGGGCACACAGCGACGUAUGGAAGGAGACUGUUGUACAGUGGGAAUACAACCAGUGAGAACUCUCCUUAUGCUAUUGCUGAAGACAAUCCUUUGGCACCAGCAGAUUUACCUUAAAAAUUCUGCACUACUCUUUUAAUCUCAUCCCACCCAUCACUACAGGCAAUGCUGGGUGGGUAUCUGAAGCAAUAGGACCACUGUGUGUCACAGAAUCAUAGAACCGUUUCAGCUGGACCUCUAAAGGCCAUCUGUCCCCCUCCCUGCAACGCACAGGGACACCCACAGCUCCACCAGGUGCUCAGAUCCUGUCCCCUGACCUUGGGGCACCUCCACCUCUCUAGACUUCCUCUGCUGGCACCUCACUGCCUUCACUGUGUCCAUAGCACUGUGUGUCCCCAAAACGAGCACUGCCUCCCACCGGGCAGAGAGGACGGUGACUGCAAUGGGAAGGGAUCCGUGGCUCCUGAGAGUAACCUCUGGAACCAAAAUGCUGCAUUUCAACAGCAGAAAAACAAUAGCACACGAAACCUCAGCUCCCAGGAGAGCAGGAUUAAAGGAACGGACUUCAGCCAAAUGGGGAAACUGGAUGGAAUCUGCAUGCUGACCCCCAGCGGCGCGGCCCCGCGGGCACUGCGCAGGAUGACUUGCUGUUUAUGGAAAGCACUCGAGUGCAGGAGAGAUCGUGCUACAGUUAAACAGACAAUGCUUAAAGGGCCAUUGCCCACGCUUGGUUUAACAGAGCCUUUCUCACUGAUUUCCAAGAAGGAAGGAGUUCUGCAUCUCUACUGCUGGGCACCACAUCACAAAUCGAUGCUGGAAGGCAAACUGCUGCUACAUUCAGUAGGAUGGAGAAGAUGACUCUGCACUUCACUUUUUGCGAGAAUCAAGAAAUUCACUUUUGGUGUAAAUGCGGGUACACGUCCCCUGGGUGGCCCAGCACCAUAUCACGUGUAAGAACAUGCUCCUUGUGAACACGGAAGAUGGGCUGGCAGGUCACUGACCGAGCUAAGACAUCCACCAGUGGCACAGCCAAGCGCUGUGACCACCGUGUGCUUGGGAGAGCUCUACUGCUCCUGCAGAGCAGCGGGGUGCUACCGAAACUCACCCUCAGGUGAGAGAUCGGUGGGGUUAGGAAGCAGCUGCUCCCAGCUGCUCACCCACAACCUGCUCCGGUCACAAGGCAGGCUGCUGGCCUCCACCACAUCCCCUCUGCAUGUCCAACCACGUGCCCCGUGGCUACAGAGCUUCCGCAGCUCUUAGUGAGACACUGCAGAAGCAUGAAGAGUUGAGGGUGAGCGCUGCAGAGCGCUGAGUUCCCCGGGCAGUUCUGCUGAGCACUGCACGGCACCGCACGGCCUGCUUGCUCUGCUCAGCUCGCCACGGCCAGCAGCUCUGUGCUAGCAGAGGUCCUCCAGAGGACGGAGGUGCUCAGACAGGAUGGGCUUCGGGUGACACUGCAGUGAGCUGCAGAUUUCAUGCACGGCCCUUCCAGCUGUGUGCAGCCUCCGAGACCAUGCGAGGACAAGGAUGCUGUAUUUUUAGAAGAUGAAAGAAGA
rnacentral:lncRNA from 1 species